ACACUAUCGGCUCUAUUCCGAUGAGCUCCUUCCAUUUUUACUCUUCAAUUUGUCGCACACCAUUUCUUUAAGAAACUUUAAUCGCCGACGAACACAACAACCCAACAUCUUCACCUUCGACACACAACGACGCCGUCUCUCGCACACUCCGGCGACACCCCAGAUCCAAUCCCUUCCGCUUAUAUUCCCGUUUGCCGGCACGAUUU
rnacentral:lncRNA from 1 species